rnacentral:rRNA from 1 species
GAUGAACGCUGGCGGCGUGCCUAACACAUGCAAGUCGAACGGAGAAUUUACGCUGAUGAAGCUUCGGCAGAUUCUUGUAAAUUCUUAGUGGCGGACGGGUGAGUAACGCGUGGGCAACCUGCCUCAUACUGGGGGAUAACAGCUGGAAACGACUGUUAAUACCGCAUAAGCGCACGGUAUCGCAUGAUACAGUGUGAAAAACUCCGGUGGUAUGAGAUGGGCCCGCGUCAGAUUAGCCAGUUGGCAGGGUAACGGCCUACCAAAGCGACGAUCUGUAGCCGGCCUGAGAGGGCGGACGGCCACAUUGGGACUGAGACACGGCCCAAACUCC